UACGUAGGGGGCAAGCGUUAUCCGGAAUUAUUGGGCGUAAAGAGUGCGUAGGUGGUUUUGUAAGCGCGGGGUGAAAGGCAAUGGCUCAACUAUUGUAAGCCCUGCGAACUGUGAGACUUGAGUGCAGGAGAGGAAAGCGGAAUUCCUAGUGUAGCGGUGAAAUGCGUAGAUAUUAGGAGGAACACCAGUGGCGAAGGCGGCUCUCUGGUCUGUAACUGACGCUGAGGCUCGAAAGCGUGGGGAGCAAACA
rnacentral:rRNA from 1 species